rnacentral:sRNA from 2 species
GUUGAAUAUGCGCUGAAUUUUCCUAGGAAAAACGGGGGAACCAAUCUUGGCAUACGAUGCCAAAGGGGUGAAUCGGAAGCGGCCAAUAUGGCCGAACCGUAGGGCUACCACAGCCCGAAUCCGCCAGCUAACCUCGUAAGCAAAGGUGGGAUAAUGA